UUUAUUGAACUGGAAUGAAAGGCUUAACAAAUGCGUAAUUUUUUAUUUUAAAAGAUUAAAAUUUUUAUUUUUUGUAAGAAUACAUAAAUAUUUAAAAGGGACGAUAAGACCCUAAAAGCUUUAUUAUUUAAAUUUUUUUUAUUAUUUGAGUUUGGUUAUUUAAUGUAUUUUAACUGGGGCGGUUGUUUUUAUAACAAAAAUUUUUUUUACAUUAUAGGUUUAAAGGUCCUUAAAAUUAGGAUAGAUUGUUUAAGUUACUUUAGGGGUAACAGCGUAAUAAUAAUAGGGAGACCUUAUUUAUAUUAUUGAUUGCGACCUCGAUGUUGAAUUAAAUUUUCCGUAUAAAGCAGAAAUUAUGUGUGAAAGUUUGUUCAACUUUUAAAAUUUUACAUGAUCUGAGUUCAAA
rnacentral:rRNA from 1 species